AGAACGAACGCUGGCGGCAGGCUUAACACAUGCAAGUCGAGCGCUGUAGCAAUACAGAGCGGCGCACGGGUGAGUAACACGUGGGAACAUGCCUUUCGGUUCGGAAUAACUCAGGGAAACUUGUGCUAAUACCGGAUACGCCCUUACGGGGAAAGAUUUAUUGCCGAAAGAGUGGCCCGCGUUGGAUUAGCUAGUUGGCGGGGUAAAAGCCCACCAAGGCGACGAUCCAUAGCUGGUCUGAGAGGACGACCAGCCACACUGGGACUGAGACACGGCCCAGACUCCUACGGGAGGCAGCAGUGGGGAAUCUUGGACAAUGGGGGAAACCCUGGAUCCAGCCAUGCCGCGUGAGUGAUGAAGGCCCUAGGGUUGUAAAACUCUUUCGGCGGGGACGAUAAUGACGGUACCCGCAGAGAAGCUCCGGCUAACUUCGUGCCAGCAGCCGC
rnacentral:rRNA from 1 species